rnacentral:rRNA from 1 species
UACGUAGGAGGCAAGCGUUGUCCGGAAUUACUGGGCGUAAAGCGUGCGCAGGCGGUUCGUUGUGUCGGCGGUGAAAGCCCCGGGCUCAACCUGGGAAUGGCCGUUGAAACUGGCGAACUGGAGUGUGGCAGAGGGGGGUGGAAUUCCGCGUGUAGCAGUGAAAUGCGUAGAGAUGCGGAGGAACACCGAUGGCGAAGGCAGCCCCCUGGGCUGACACUGACGCUCAGGCACGAAAGCGUGGGGAGCAAACAGG